AGAGCUGGUGAAUCUUUAAUUUUCAAGCCCGUAAGGGGAACAAAGGUAAGAUUCCUUCCAAACCAUGAAGAAAAAUCACAAAUGCAUGGCUUGCACUCUCCUGCUCUUGCUCUUGGUUGUCCCUGCCAUUGUUACUGCUAGUGUUUUUCUAGCCCGCUGUCACCACCACUGCUCAGCCAAACCAGUCCCACCAAGUGAAGAAGCU
rnacentral:lncRNA from 1 species